rnacentral:tRNA from 1 species
GUAGGCAUAGUUUAAACAAAAUACCAGAUUGUGAUUCUAGUGACAGAGGUUAAAACCCUCUUGCCCACC